rnacentral:tRNA from 1 species
AGUCUCGUGGUGUAUUACAUACUGGAUUGCAAAUCCAUAGAUGCCGAGUAGUUUCGGCCGGGGCUU